ACACAGAAAGCAAAUCUGUGGGAAC
rnacentral:piRNA from 1 species